CCAGUUGGCUGGGUGGCCGCGCUUUAUGUAUGAAAAUAUAUUCAAGGUGAGGAAAGUCCGGGCUCCACGAAAACUCGAUGCCGGAUAACGUCCGGCGAAGGUGACUUCAGGGAAAGUGCCACAGAAAAUAUACCGCCUUUUAAUCAAAGGUAAGGGUGAAAUGGUGGGGUAAGAGCUCACCGCAUUUUUGGCAACAAAAAUGGCAUGGUAAACCCCGUCGGGAGCAAGACCAAAUAGGGAUGGUGUGAACAUGUAGUAAUGUGUUCUAGAUGUGUUUUCGGUCUAACCAUCCGGGUAGGUUGCAUGAGGUGGCAUGUAAAUGUCAUCCUAGAUGAAUGGUCACCAAUCUCCAUUUUAGAGAUACAGAACCCGGCUUAUAGGCCAACUGGUUUU
rnacentral:RNase_P_RNA from 1 species